rnacentral:tRNA from 1 species
GGGCGUUUGGUCUAGGGGUAUGAUUUUCGUUUCGCACCACGGUUCGUCUACGAAAGGUCGUGGGUUCAAUUCCCACAACGUCCA